rnacentral:rRNA from 1 species
AGUGAACGCUGGCGGUAGGCCUAACACAUGCGAGUCGAACGGCAGCACAGUAAGAGCUUGCUCUUACGGGUGGCGAGUGGCGGACGGGUGAGGAAUACAUCGGAAUCUACUUUUUCGUGGGGGAUAACGUAGGGAAACUUACGCUAAUACCGCAUACGACCUACGGGUGAAAGCAGGGGAUCUUCGGACCUUGCGCGAUUGAAUGAGCCGAUGUCGGAUUAGCUAGUUGGCGGGGUAAAGGCCCACCAAGGCGACGAUCCGUAGCUGGUCUGAGAGGAUGAUCAGCCACACUGGAACUGAGACACGGUCCAGACUCCUACGGGAGGCAGCAGUGGGGAAUAUUGGACAAUGGGCGCAAGCCUGAUCCAGCCAUACCGCGUGGGUGAAGAAGGCCUUCGGGUUGUAAAGCCCUUUUGUUGGGAAAGAAAAGCAGCAGGUUAAUACCCCGCUGUUCUGACGGUACCCAAAGAAUAAGUACCGGCUAACUUCGUG